UACGGGAAGGGCAAGCGUUAUCCAGCGUGACUGGGCGUAAAGAGUCCGUAGACGGUAGAGUAAGUUUUUUUGUUAAAUUUUUAAAAACUUAAUUUUUAAGAAAGCAAUUAAAAAUACUGCUUUACUUUGAGUUUAGUACAGAAAAGUGGAAUUUUAUAUGAUAGGGGUGAAAUCCGUAGAUAUAUAAAGGAAUGCCAAAAGCGAAGGCAACUUUUUGGUACAGACUGACGUUGAGGGACGAAAGUGUGGGUAGCAAACAGG
rnacentral:rRNA from 1 species